GCCACUUCAUUUUAUCUUUGCGGAAACAUGAGAUUUCUCCCUCUUGCCAAAGUUUGGUUUAAGUGGACCUCAGACUUGCCUGAGGGAUAGUUUCUGGAGAAGCAUGGAGUUCUGGGAAGCCUCAGCCAUCUCUCAGGGGAAAAGCGUUGCUUAGUUUGUAAAAAGAAAAAAGAGAAACUUCUCUGCAGAGCUUAAGAACAUAAGCUGAACUGGGGGAAAGGCUGUUGGGGUGUGUUCUUAUCACAAAAAUGGCUUAUUCAGAUAAUACUUCUCAGCAGAGACCCCUAUGGUAUUUAAACAGAAGGAAAGCAUUUUGAUGCACUGAAGACGCUGAUAAAGAAGCCAUACAACAGCCAUUUCCUUGGCCAAAUCCGUUAUUCUAUAAACAUCCACACCAGAUAUAAAUAAUUUAAAUAUUGAAAAAAUAUAAAAAGCCUAUCUACCUACCUCUUGCUAAAAUAAAUUACUAAAACUUGAUGUAUUUGAGCAAACCAGUUAUCGCAGCACUAGGGAGAAAGAUGUAAAGCUGAACAGAAGUUCACCCCACUCCAUGCCCAUCCCAGCCCCCACUACAGUGAAUUUAAGCAAAUAUGACCUUGUAAUUCUCAGAUUUGAUUUCUUAAUCCAGGAGUUUUUAAUGCUUAUCAAGCCCUACAUCUCCUUUCUAUUAUGAAUAUUUCACAACAUAGCCAACAGUUUGAAAAACAUUAACAUGAUGACUUCACUACAAGAUAGAGGAGAAAUAGAGAAAAUUAACUUAAAAUAACAUUUUAAAAUAUAAGUGCUCAGGCAUGAUUACACUAGAAACAUACUGAUCUGUGCAUCCAUUUAUAUAAAAUCAUUGUUGAUUUUUGAAAAGUUAGAAUACACA
rnacentral:lncRNA from 10 species